rnacentral:tRNA from 5 species
UGCGGGGUGGAGCAGCUUGGUAGCUCGUCGGGCUCAUAACCCGAAGGUCGUUGGUUCAAAUCCAGCCCCCGCAACCA